rnacentral:rRNA from 1 species
UACGGAGGAUCCAAGCGUUAUCCGGAAUCAUUGGGUUUAAAGGGUCCGUAGGCGGGUUAAUAAGUCAGUGGUGAAAGUCUGCAGCUUAACUGUAGAAUUGCCAUUGAAACUGUUGAUCUUGAGUAAUUAUGAAGUGGUUAGAAUAUGUAGUGUAGCGGUGAAAUGCAUAGAUAUUACAUAGAAUACCGAUUGCGAAGGCAGAUCACUAAUAAUUUACUGACGCUGAGGGACGAAAGCGUAGGUAGCGAACAGG